rnacentral:rRNA from 1 species
GCGGUGGAGCAUGUGGUUUAAUUCGAAGCAACGCGAAGAACCUUUACCAGGUCUUGACAUCCCGAUGCUAUUUCUAGAGAUAGAAAGUUACUUCGGUACAUCGGUGACAGGUGGUGCAUGGUUGUCGUCAGCUCGUGUCGUGAGAUGUUGGGUUAAGUCCCGCAACGAGCGCAACCCCUAUUGUUAGUUGCCAUCAUUCAGUUGGGCACUCUAGCGAGACUGCCGGUAAUAAACCGGAGGAAGGUGGGAUGACGUCAAAUCAUCAUGCCCUUAUGACCUGGGCUACACACGUGCUACAAUGGUUGGUACAACGAGUUGCGAGUCGGUGACGGCGAGCUAAUCUCUUAAAGCCAAUCUCAGCUCGGAUUGUAGGCUGCAACUCGCCUACAUGAAGUCGGAAUCGCUAGUAAUCGCGGAUCAGCACGCCGCGGUGAAUACGUUCCCGGGCCUU